rnacentral:rRNA from 1 species
CGGGGUGAGUAAUGCUUGGGAAUCUAGCUUAUGGAGGGGGAUAACUACGAGAAACUGUAGCUAAUACCGCGUAAUAUCGAAAGAUUAAAGUGUGGGACCUUCGGGCCACAUGCCAUAGGAUGAGCCCAAGUGGGAUUAGGUAGUUGGUGAGGUAAAGGCUCACCAAGCCGACGAUCUCUAGCUGGUCUGAGAGGAUGACCAGCCACACUGGGACUGAGACACGGCCCAG